GGAGCAUUCGUCGUAGUUGCUGAAGCCGAUCACCAUCUUCGAUGGAAAGGUGAAAGGAAGGUGGUGUAAUGGGAUAAGGAAGAGGCAUGGGAUGGAAAUAAUUAAUGCAUACUAUACUAUAAUUUUAUAAAUUUAUUUACCAUCUAAUUUUUUAAAUAUUCUAAUGAGUUUGUUAUUUAUGAAAUGUAAUCUUUAGAACUAGG
rnacentral:lncRNA from 1 species